UUAAACUCGGUACAUGUGUGGGAUCAACAUCCAAUGCUUUCCUGAAUGAAUUCAGCGCGUCUCGAUGGAGACCCUUAGCUUCAUAUAUAUAGUAAGCCUGGCAAAAAUCAUAAUAAAGAGAUUUGGAUCACAAGUGCCAUCUAGAUGCAGAAUGGGGACUGAUAACCUGAGAUUUCGAAAGGCAGACCUCAGCAUAUCUGUCCACUACGACAAGCUCAUAUACAGUUUGGCCAAAUCAUGCCAUGUUUCCAUUUCCAAGCCUCUGUCAUGUUUUCUUCUAGUCUGUAGAGAAACCAAUAUUUCUUAUCAUUUAUGCCAUGACAUUCAUGAUUAGUUUAA